rnacentral:rRNA from 1 species
AGUGAACGCUGGCGGUAGGCCUAACACAUGCAAGUCGAACGGCAGCACAGAGGAGCUUGCUCCUUGGGUGGCGAGUGGCGGACGGGUGAGGAAUACAUCGGAAUCUACUCUGUCGUGGGGGAUAACGUAGGGAAACUUACGCUAAUACCGCAUACGACCUACGGGUGAAAGCAGGGGAUCUUCGGACCUUGCGCGAUUGAAUGAGCCGAUGUCGGAUUAGCUAGUUGGCGGGGUAAAGGCCCACCAAGGCGACGAUCCGUAGCUGGUCUGAGGGGAUGAUCAGCCACACUGGAAUGGAGACAGGGUCCAGACUCCUACGGGAGGCAGAAGUGGGGAAUAUUGGACAAUGGGCGCAAGCCUGAUCCAGCCAUACCGCGUGGGUGAAGAAGGCCUUCGGGUUGUAAAGCCCUUUUGUUGGGAAAGAAAUCCAUCUGGUUAAUACCCGGGUGGGAUGACGGUACCCAAAGAAUAAGCACCGGCUAACUUCGUGCCAGCCGCCGCAGUAA